GCGGAAGCCGCCGGGGCCGCCUAGAGAAGAGGCUGUGCUUCGGCGCUCCGGCUCCUCAGAGAGCCUCGGCUAGGUGUGGAAACAGGAAGAGAACUAGAACUGGAAGUAAAGCAUUGAAGAUGUGACUGAAUUGCUGCAAUCUCAUGAUCAAAUUUGAAUGGAUGAGGAGUUGCUUUUUAGGGAUGAGCAAAGAAAGUGGUUUCUCGAGAUGGAAUCUACUGGUGAAGUUGCUGUGAACAUUGUUAAAAUGCCAAUAAAGGAUUUAGGAAUUACAGAAACCUGGUUGAUAAAGCAGUGCCAGGGUGUGAGAGAGUUGACUUCAAUUUUGAAAUAAGUUCCACUGGCUGGGUGUGGUGGCUCACACCUGCAAUCCCAGUACUUUAGGAGGCCGAGACUGGUAGAUCAUUUGAGGUCAGGAGUUCAAGACCAGCCUUGCCAACAUGGUGAAACCCCACCUCUACCAAAUUAGCCAGGUGUGGUGCACACCUGUAGUCCCAGCUACUUGGGAAGCUGAGGCAGGAGAAUCUCUUGAACCAGGGAGGAGGAGGUUGCAGUAAGCCGAGAUGGCGCCCCUGCACUCCAGCCUGGGUGACAGAGUGAGACCUUGCGUUUAAAAAAAAAAAAAAAGGAAAAGGAAAAAAAAGUUCUACUGUGGGUAAAAUGCUAUCAUGCUAUCAAACAGCAUCACAUGCUACAGAGAAGUCUUGUGAAAGGAUGUCAGUGUGGCAAACUUCAUUGUCUUUUAAGAAAUUGCCACAGCUAUCGUAAUCUUCAACCACCACCACCCUGAUGAGUCAGUAGCCAUCGUUAACGUUGGCGUAAGACCCUCCACCAGCAAAAAGAUUGUUAGCAUUUUUUUAGCAGUGAUGUAUUUAUCAAUUAUACAUAAUGCUAUUGUACACUUCUUAAUAGACUAUGGUAUAGUGUAACCAUAAUUUAUGCACUGGGAAACCAACAAAUUCAUGAGAUUCGCUUUAUUGUAGUGCUCUGGAAUUGAGCCUGCCGUGUUUCUGAGGUUGCUCCUUGAGGGCAGGACAGUUCUUAUGGCUUUAUCCGUUGCGUAAGCACAGAGAGGUCUGCGAGGUCAAAACUAUUGUCAUGAUAGCAAGAUGCCUGUCUUUUUCAUUUAUUCUCACGGUGUGCAGAGGCUACAUGAUGUGUGAUGACAUCCUCAUUGAUGUUAAUGAAUGGUGCUAUACUUGAAUUUUCUAAGGUGUCAUUAGGCUUUUGAAUGGUAACCACCAUAUCACUGGAAGGAUUUUGUAAUUAUAAAUAAAAAACCUGUCAGCAGAACAUAAAUACCAAGCUGUCACAUGUCAUUUGUGGAAUGAGGUGACGUGACCCUAGGCCUGAACAAUGUUCUAUGCAGAUUAACAGAAGGUUUCUGACACGAAAGCCGGGAAAGGUCUGCCUCUGCUUAGGGGAACUUAAGUGGAUUACAGAGAAGAAAAUUGCCUUCCUCCAGUUUAUGCUUAUGCCUUCAAUUAUCUUUUCCCAUUCAAGUCUACCAGCUUGUCUGUUACACAAAGAGGACUCAUCGGCAGUUUGUAAUUCUCAGCUUCCUCUGUAAUCUAGUGAAUAGAUGUCACUAACAAUGUAUCUAGGCCAGUGGCACAUGGCUCUUUGAAAUAAGUAGUUACAUUCUUUACAAAAAAGUUCCACUUUCUAUUGUUAAUUGUUUUAAAACUCUUGGGUCCACUGAUCCAACCAUGGAGAUUUCAUUAUGUCUAAUUUGCCCAUUAGGUCUAGAAUAUUCUGGAUGUAUCACUCUUAUCUAAAAGCUAAAGAAAUAUGAUUACCUCUAUUGGUAUUGCCCCAGUUCCACACAUUGGAUCGACUAUUAUAUCAUAAGGUAGAGGAUCACAGAGCCUAGAGAAAAGAAAACAGCCUAUGUGAAGACUCACUCAAAAGCUGAGGCUUCUAUACUGAUGAUUCCUGAAGCUUUAAGAUUGAGGACCUACCACACUAGCCCGAAGGAACACCAAUCUACACAUAUUUUAGAAAUCAAUUUGUGGCCGCGCACGGUGACUCACGCCUGUAAUCCCAGCACUUUGGGAGGCUGAGAUGGGUGGAUCGCUUGAGGUCAGGAAUUCAAGACCAGCCUGGCCAACAUGGCGAAACCCCGUCUCCACUAAAAAUACAAAAAAUUAGCUGGGCGUGGUGGUGGGUGCCUGUAAUCCCAGCUAGUACAAAGGCUGAGACUCGAGAAUUGCUUGAACCCAGAAGGCGGGGAUUGCAGUGAGCCAAGAUCAUGUAAGAUGCAGCCUGGGUGACAGAGCAAGACUCCGUCUCAAAAAUAAAUAAAUAAA
ensembl:lncRNA THUMPD3-AS1 THUMPD3 antisense RNA 1